rnacentral:rRNA from 1 species
AUUGAACGCUGGCGGCAGGCCUAACACAUGCAAGUCGAACGAGUGGCGGACGGGUGAGUAAUGUCUGGGAAACUGCCCGAUGGAGGGGGAUAACUACUGGAAACGGUAUCUAAUACCGCAUACACUCGGAUGUGCCCAGAUGGGAUUAGCUAGUAGGUGGGGUAACUGCUAACCUAGGCGACGAUCCCUAGCUGGUCUGAGAGGAGGACCAGCCACACUGGAACUGAGACACGGUCCAGACUCCUACGGGAGGCAGCAGUGGGGAAUAUUGCACAAUGGGCGAAAGCCUGAUCCAGCCAUGCCGCGUGUGUGAAGAAGGUCUUCGGAUUGUAAAGCACUUUAAGUUGGGAGGCGUUACCAACAGAAUAAGCACCGGCGAACUUCGUGCCAGCAGCCGCGGUAAUAC